UACGUAGGGUGCGAGCGUUAAUCGGAAUUACUGGGCGUAAAGCGUGCGCAGGCUGUUCUGUAAGUCAGAUGUGAAAUCCCCGAGCCCAACUUGGGAACUGCGUUUGAAACUACAGGACUAGAAUAUGUCAGAGGGGGGUAGAAUUCCACGUGUAGCAGUGAAAUGCGUAGAGAUGUGGAGGAAUACCAAUGGCGAAGGCAGCCCCCUGGGAUAAUAUUGACGCUCAUGCACGAAAGCGUGGGGAGCAAACAGG
rnacentral:rRNA from 1 species